rnacentral:rRNA from 1 species
GACGAACGCUGGCGGCGUGCCUAAAACAUGCAAGUCGAACGGUGUAGCAAUACACAGUGGCGAACGGCGGAGUAAUACAUGAACAACGUGCCCGGAAGACUGGGAUAGUCAGGGGAAACCCUGGGUAAUACCGGAUGUGGCCGAUCUUUGGCAUCUUAGAUCGAUUAAAUGGUUCUUCGCUUCCGGAGCGGUUCAUGGCCUAUCAGGUAGUUGGUGAGGUAACGGCUCACCAAGCCGACGACGGGUAGCGGGUCUGAGAGGAUGAUCCGCUCGAGUGGGACUGAGACACGGCCCACACACCUACGGGUGGCAGCAGUUGGGAAUCUUGCACAAUGGGGAAACCCUGAUGCAGCGACGCCGCGUGGAGGAUGAAGGAUCUAGGUCUGUAAACUCCUUUUUCAGGGAAAGACUUAGGACGGUACCCUGAGAAUAAGGACCGGCUAACUACGUGCCAGCCGCCGCAGUAAU